GCUAGGAGGAGAUGGGGCAGGAGGAGACUCUUUCCGCAAUGUAACAAGAUUUGGAGCGGGUGGGAGAAGCUCGCCAUCCGUGACGCCGUGGCGCAAAAAGAAACCGAAGAAGUAAAGGAGGGCGGACAACGAGGGUCCA
ensembl:ncRNA F31E8.16 ncRNA